ensembl:lncRNA
GAUGGAGCAUCAGGCAGGCCAGACAGUGAAAUGACAUAGUUUACAGCUAGUCCAUUCUUUCAGAUCUAGGUUAGAUCUAGGUUAGAUCUAGGUUAGAUCUAGGGUCAGAUCUAGGGUCAGAUCUAGGUCAGAUCUAGGUCAGAUGAGAGUUAAGCUGCUGUGCUCUCUGUCCAAUUCUGACUGAAUUGUCUCUCUCUCUCAGGUGUGCUGCCUGUCUCUCUCUCUCUCUCUCUCUCUGGUGCGCUGCCUGUCUCUCUCUCUCUCUGGUGUGCUGCCUGUCUCUCUCUCUCUCAGGUGUGCUGCCUGUCUCUCUCUCUCUCAGGUGUGCUGCCUGUCUCUCUCUCUCUCAGGUGUGCUGCCUGUCUCUCUCUCUCUCUGGUGUGC